GAAAACUUAAAAGAAAAAUAAGGAGCUCUAAUUAUUUUGGGGUAAUUUUUCUUACAUCUUCCAAAGCUCAGGUAUCAUGUAUGCCUCCAAAAUAAAGAGCCUUAAAUACUAGAAGAGAAACAUUCAUUUCCAACAAGAUUAAGUGAAUAAUUAAAAUUAUAGUCAUAUUAUUUUUGCAUUUUA
rfam:Eucalyptus grandis cultivar BRASTZ1 unplaced genomic scaffold scaffold_8, whole genome shotgun sequence.